UGGGGAAUAUUGCACAAUGGGCGCAAGCCUGAUGCAGCCAUGCCGCGUGUGUGAAGAAGGCCUUCGGGUUGUAAAGCACUUUCAGCGGGGAGGAAGGCGGUGAGGUUAAUAACCUUAUCAAUUGACGUUACCGACAGAAGAAGCACCGGCUAACUCCGUGCCAGCAGCCGCGGUAAUACGGAGGGUGCAAGCGUUAAUCGGAAUUACUGGGCGUAAAGCGCACGCAGGCGGUUGAUUGAGUCAGAUGUGAAAUCCCCGGGCUUAACCCGGGAAUUGCAUUCGAAACUGGCAGGCUAGAGUCUUGUAGAGGGGGGUAGAAUUCCAUGUGUAGCGGUGAAAUGCGUAGAGAUGUGGAGGAAUACCGGUGGCGAAGGCGGCCCCCUGGACAAAGACUGACGCUCAGGUGCGAAAGCGUGGGGAGCAAACAGG
rnacentral:rRNA from 1 species